AUUGAACGCUGGCGGCAGGCCUAACACAUGCAAGUCGAGCGAGCGGCGGACGGGCGAGUAAUUUAUGGGGACCUGCCUGAUCGAGGGGGCUAACUACUGGAAACGGUGGCUAAUACUGCUUACUAUCGGUUGAACCCAUCUGGGAUUAGCUAGUUGGUGGGGUAAAGGCUCACCUAGGCGACGAUGCCUAGCUGGUCUGAGAGGGUGAUCAGCCACACUGGGACUGAGACACGGCCCAGACUCCUACGGGAGGCAGCAGUGGGGAAUAUUGCACAAUGGGCGAAAGCCUGAUGCAGCCAUGCCGCGUGUAUGAAGAAGGCCUUAGGGUUGUAAAGUACUUUCAGCGGGGAGGCGGUAUCCAAAGAAGAAGCACCGGCUAACUACGUGCCAGCAGCCGCGGUAAUAC
rnacentral:rRNA from 1 species